rnacentral:rRNA from 1 species
UAAUACAUGCAAGUCGAACGGGAUUAGGGAGCUUGCUCCCUAUGAGAGUGGCGCACGGGUGCGUAACACGUAUGCAACCUACCUUCAACCGGGGGAUAGCCUUCCGAAAGGAAGAUUAAUACCGCAUAACAUUAUGAAAUGGCAUCAUUUUAUAAUCAAAUCUACGGAAGUUGAAGAUGGGCAUGCGUCCGAUUAGCUAGUUGGAGAGGUAACGGCUCACCAAGGCUACGAUCGGUAGGGGAUCUGAGAGGAUGACCCCCCACACUGGUACUGAGACACGGACCAGACUCCUACGGGAGGCAGCAGUAAGGAAUAUUGGUCAAUGGACGCAAGUCUGAACCAGCCAUGCCGCGUGCAGGAAGACGGCCCUAUGGGUUGUAAACUGCUUUUGUCGGGGAAGAAACCCAUCUACGUGUAGAUGGCUGACGGUACUCGAAGAAUAAGGAUCGGCUAACUCCGUGCCAGCAGCCGCGGUAAUACGGAGGAUCCAAGCGUUAUCCGGAUUUAUUGGGUUUAAAGGGUGCGUAGGCGGCGUUGUAAGUCAGUGGUGAAAGUUUUCAGCUUAACUGGAAAAUUGCCAUUGAUACUGCAGUGCUUGAGUAUAGAUGAGGUGGGCGGAAUGUGUCAUGUAGCGGUGAAAUGCAUAGAUAUGACACAGAACACCGAUUGCGAAGGCAGCUCACUAAACUAUAACUGACGCUGAGGCACGAAAGCGUGGGGAUCAAACAGGAUUAGAUACCCUGGUAGUCCACGCCCUAAACGAUGAUUACUCGAUGUUAGCGAUAUACUGUUAGCGUCAAAGCGAAAGCGUUAAGUAAUCCACCUGGGGAGUACGCCCGCAAGGGUGAAACUC